GGACAAAGUACAAAUUCGACAAAGAGGCAGACGUAAAAUCUCUCUGCAGCCUUGUCAGCCUCUUGUGCCUGAAAACCAGAUGGUACCCAAUGCUACAAAGCUCUGAACAACCUGCAUGUCAGAUGGCUCUCACAUCCAGAGAGCCCUAUGACUCACACUGAUGAUGGAUCUGG
rnacentral:lncRNA from 11 species